CAAUAGCGUAUAUUUAAGUUGCUGCCGUUAAAAAGCUCGUAGUUGGAUUUCGGGUGGGAAUGGCCGGUCCGCCGUUUCGGUGUGCACUUGCUACGCCCACCUUGCUGCCGGGGACGUGCUCUUGAGUUCACGCUCGGGACACGGAGUCGGCGAGGUUACUUUGAGUAAAUUAGAGUGUUCAAAGCAGGCCUACGCUCUGAAUACAUUAGCAUGGAAUAACACGAUAGGACUCUGGCCUAUCUUGUUGGUCUGUAGGACCGGAGUAAUGAUUAAGAGGGACAGUCGGGGGCAUUCGUAUUUCAUUGUCAGAGGUGAAAUUCUUGGAUUUAUGAAAGACGAACUACUGCGAAAGCAUUUGCCAAGGAUGUUUUCAUUAA
rnacentral:rRNA from 1 species